rnacentral:rRNA from 1 species
GUGAACGCUGGCGGUGGGCCUAACACAUGCACGUCGAACGGCAGCACAGUAAGAGCUUGCUCUUACGGGUGGCGAGUGGCGGACGGGUGAGGAAUACAUCGGAAUCUACUUUUUCGUGGGGGAUAACGUAGGGAAACUUACGCUAAUACCGCAUACGACCUACGGGUGAAAGCAGGGGAUCUUCGGACCUUGCGCGAUUGAAUGAGCCGAUGUCGGAUUAGCUAGUUGGCGGGGUAAAGGCCCACCAAGGCGACGAUCCGUAGCUGGUCUGAGAGGAUGAUCAGCCACACUGGAACUGAGACACGGUCCAGACUCCUACGGGAGGCAGCAGUGGGGAAUAUUGGACAAUGGGCGCAAGCCUGAUCCAGCCAUACCGCGUGGGUGAAGAAGGCCUUCGGGUUGUAAAGCCCUUUUGUUGGGAAAGAAAAGCAGCAGGUUAAUACCCCGCUGUUCUGACGGUACCCAAAGAAUAAGCACCGGCUAACUUCGUG